rnacentral:rRNA from 1 species
CCUACGGGAGGCAGCAGUGGGGAAUAUUGGACAAUGGGGGGAACCCUGAUCCAGCCAUGCCGCGUGUGUGAAGAAGGCCCUCGGGUUGUAAAGCACUUUCAGUGAGGAAGAACGCCUGGUGGUUAAUACCCAUCAGGAAAGACAUCACUCACAGAAGAAGCACCGGCUAACUCCGUGCCAGCAGCCGCGGUAAUACGGAGGGUGCGAGCGUUAAUCAGAAUUACUGGGCGUAAAGCGCGCGUAGGUGGCUUGAUAAGCCGGUUGUGAAAGCCCCGGGCUCAACCUGGGAACGGCAUCCGGAACUGUCAAGCUAGAGUGCAGGAGAGGAAGGUAGAAUUCCCGGUGUAGCGGUGAAAUGCGUAGAGAUCGGGAGGAAUACCAGUGGCGAAGGCGGCCUUCUGGACUGACACUGACACUGAGGUGCGAAAGCGUGGGUAGCAAACAGGAUUAGAUACCCUUGUAGUC